rnacentral:rRNA from 1 species
GACGAACGCGUGGCGGCGAGGCUUAACACAUGCAAGUCGAACGCUCGUGGCAACACGGGAGUGGGCAGACGGGUGAGUAACGCGUGGGAACAUGCCCUUUGGUUCGGAAUAACUCAGGGAAACUUGAGCUAAUACCGGAUAAGCCCGAGAGGGGAAAGAUUUAUCGCCGAAGGAUUGGCCCGCGUCCGAUUAGCUAGUUGGUGAGGUAACGGCUCACCAAGGCGACGAUCGGUAGCUGGUCUGAGAGGAUGAUCAGCCACACUGGGACUGAGACACGGCCCAGACUCCUACGGGAGGCAGCAGUGGAGAAUAUUGGACAAUGGGGGCAACCCUGAUCCCAGCCAUGCCGCGCGAGUGAUGAAGGCCUUAGGGUUGUAAAGCUCUUUCGGCGGGGACGAUAAUGACGGUACCCGCAGAAGAAGCCCCGGCUAACUUCGUGCCAGCCGCAGC